GUCUGUCGCUCCGGAUCUUCAGAGUUAAUCCAUAAAGAAUCGACCAAAUGUGCAGUGCAAUGCUCAGCCCUCUGCGCCGAGAAAAAGCAGCACGUCGCGGUUCUUUUACUCUGAAGAGAAAGCGCGCAGUCUGGACUCCUCUGCAAAGCCUGUUGGGGGCAGCUUGACCUCUCUAAUUAUUCCUCGUCAACCCUGAGCUGCUGGCCACUGGACAGCCAGGAUGAGGGCGGGACAGACUGUGAGUCACACCGGCCAGAUGGAAGUCAGAUUAUCCUCCAUUAGAUGACAUAAUGCUAUGGUGGUCUUCUUUUCCCAGACCCAAACAAAGCAGUCUGUUGGUUCUAUAUCAGGAUGCAGGUUCCACAGAUGAAAUGUAAUAAAAGAAAAGAAAGAAAGAAAAAGUAGCAACACACCUAUCGAUAUUAUGCU